GGUAAGAGCAUUGAAGGUCCUGAGUUCAAAUCCCAGCAACCACAUGGUGGCUCAUAACCACCCGUAAUGAGAUCUGACGCCCUCUUCUGGUGUGUCUGAAGACAACUACAGUGUACUUAUAAUAAUAAAUCUUAAAAAAAAAGAAAAAAGAAAAAAAAUAAAGUAGAAGUAUAUAGUAAUGGUCCAGCAAAUUUAGUGAACACAUGUUACAUUACCAGGAUUUUUUUGUCUUUCAAUUUUCAUGUGCAUGUUGUGUAUGUAUGUGGAUAGGUGGGUACACAUGUGUGCAAAUGCAUGCUAGCAGACCUCAGGUUGAUCUUGGGAAUCAUCCUUAAUCUCUCUCCUGAAACCUCACUCAUUGAGACCUCUCAGUCAAAUCCAUAUCUGAACUCCAGUCUUCACAUGGUUUUAACUGCUGUACUAGCUUCAUAGCUCAAUACCAAGAUUUUAAGACUGUAACUUAGGUUGGAGAGAUGGCUCAAUGAGAAAGGUGUUUCUGAGAAUAAUUUUGAGUUGAAUCCCUGGGACCAACUUGAUAGAAGGAGAGAAUUGAUUCCUUCAAGUUGUCCUCUGACUAUCACAUAUGUACUGUAGUGUGCACUUGCUCAUGUGUUUAUGUAAAUACACAUAUACACACACACCGCACCACAAAAUUCCUCAUGUAUAGUACUGUUAACUGGACCAUAAACUUGUGACUUUGUCACAGGCCCUGGGGGAGAUCAUAAUCCUAUUAUUCUGGCAAGUGGACACAGUAUUAAACUGUCUUCCUAAGUUAUCCUUAUAUCUCUAGAUUAGUGCAUCUCUCAGCCUUCAUCAGAGAAGAUUCUUUUUGCAGUGGAUGGAGAUUAAUAGAGACCCAUAAUGGGUUAUUGUACAGAGAAUAAAAGACUGUAAAGUUCUCAGUUUUUAUUGGGAUAUGUGUACCAUGCCCUGUCCCUUAGACAGAGGUGGCAGAAGGUAGCAAGUGUAAGAGGCAGUAAGUGUCUGCACUGACACUGUGUUUGCUGCUUAGGAUCACUUCACAUGGGAACUCACAGUGGCUGUGACUGCACGCAUGAGACCUUGACAAGAUCAAGUCACCCCAAGCCCACUGAGACUCUGUUAGCACCUCAUGGCAGGUGUAGGAGGGAGAGUAAGUUUUCUUCAGGGAUAUGGCUCCUGAGAGGCUUAUCUGUGUUCCAGUAGAUGGUCCUACACACAUGCACAUAUAGGCAGCACUAAGUGUACUCAGUGGGUUUAAAAAAACAGCAUAUGAAAUUGGAAUACAAAUGGCGGUUAGUUGAGGGUACAAACUGGAUGGGAUGGAAUGGGGAUGGAUUUAAUCAAAACACAUUAUAUGUAUAUAUGAAAUUUUCAAUAAAAAUGUAAAACAAAGGAAUUUAUAAAUUUUUAUCACCCCCAUCAUCAUUUUUCUUAAGAUCAAAGCAUGUGCUUAAGGUUGCAUCCUGUUUUCAAAUGUUGCACUCUGGGCUGGAUGGGGCGGUGGCACGCCUUUCAUUCCAGAUCUCAGGAGGCAGAGGCAGGCAAAUCUCCAUGAGUGUAAGACCAGCCUGGUCUACAUGUGAGUUCUAGGAUAGAUAGGGCUUAUCUUAAAAAAAACCUAAAACCAAAUUACAAUAACAAAAAAUGUUAGGGCUGGAGAGAUGGCUCAGCUGUCAAGAAUACUGGCUGCUCUUCCAGAGGACCAGAGUUCAAUUUCCAGCACCCACAUGGCAACUCACAAAUAUCUGUAAUUCUAGUCUGAGUAGAAUCUGAUGCCCUCUUUCUACUGGCACCAAGCAUACAAAUGGUGCACAUGACUACAUGCAGGCAAGAUACUCAUAGACAUAAAAUAAUAAAAUUAAUAAUAUUGUAUAAUAUCUAACAAAAAUUAGUUUUUAAAAGAGUUGCAUUUUGCUUAUCAAAUGUGCUGCUUUUAGUUAGCCAAUUGUAUAAGAAUGUGAGGCCAAACUUUGAUCACUCAGAGUGAGGCAAAGGUCCUCUUUGCUUUAGGAAUAAAACCCCUGUUGGCAAGAUCAAUAAAACAAAUGACAGCUGUUGCUGCUGAGAACACUCAUCCAUAGCUGGUGGGGGUGCAAACUUGCACAGACACCAUGGAAAUCAAUGUGGCAAUUUCUUAGUAAGAUGGGACUCAGUUUAUUUCAAGAUCUGGCUAUACUACUUGGUCCUAUACUCAAAGGACACUACAUCAUCCUACCGAGAUAUUUCCUCAGUCCCAUUCAUUCAUUACUGCUCUCUUCAUAAUAGCCAGAAAUUGUAAACUCCAUUAGAUCAGUGAUCUAAUGAUUGCAUAAGGAAAAUGUAUGGUUGCACCAUGGAACAUUACUCAGUCAUUAAAAAGUGAAAUAAGUUGGGCAUGGUAGUAGCACACGCUUUUAAUCCUAGAACUUGGGAGGCAGAGGCAGGAAGAUCUCUGAGUCUAACCACUGGUCUACAAAGUGAGUUCCAGGACAUCCAGGGCUGCACAGAGAAACCCUGUUUCAAAAAAAAGUAAUAAUAAUG
rnacentral:lncRNA from 1 species